rnacentral:rRNA from 1 species
GUGGGGAAUCUUGCGCAAUGGGCGAAAGCCUGACGCAGCAAUGCCGCGUGAAUGAUGAAGGUCUUAGGAUUGUAAAAUUCUUUCACCGGGGACGAUAAUGACGGUACCCGGAGAAGAAGCCCCGGCUAACUUCGUGCCAGCAGCCGCGGUAAUACGAAGGGGGCUAGCGUUGCUCGGAAUUACUGGGCGAAAAGGGCGCGUAGGCGGACAGUUUAGUCAGAGGUGAAAGCCCAGGGCUCAACCUUGGAAGUGCCUUUGAUACUGGCUGUCUUGAGUACGGGAGAGGUGAGUGGAACUCCGAGUGUAGAGGUGAAAUUCGUAGAUAUUCGGAAGAACACCAGUGGCGAAGGCGACUCACUGGCCCGUUACUGACGCUGAGGCGCGAAAGCGUGGGGAGCAAACAGGAUUAGAUACCCUUGUAGUCC